GCAUCCUCGACGGUCGGAAGAUGACUCGUCCCUCCCGAGGGGAGGGAAGAUUUCCAGAGGAAUCUUUUUUUGUGGGGUUAGAUAGUACUCGAAAUCCUGGCAUUUUUAACUUUGGGGUUCCUCUACUUCACUGUUCUCACGGAGGAUGGAAGUGAAGGUUAGGAAGGAGAGUACCCAAAGUCAUGGCUGACAUAUAAGUCUUCAGCACUUCACAAGACUCUGGCAUUGUCUAUAAUGGAAGGAAAUAAUAACCAGACAAAAGGAACCCACAACUCAACAACCAGCAACUAUUAAAACAAGUGCCCGUGUUGAUGCCUUCUUGAUGGUCAGCCAGUGGACAUGGGUGAGCCAGGAGAAGCUGUGGACAGGGACAAAAGUGAUCACUUUGAUUUUUUGCUUCAGUGUGUGAUUUUAAAAAACCUCUCAUUAAAUAAUUCUUGAAAAAUAA